rnacentral:rRNA from 1 species
GCCAGCCGCCAUGUCACCCUGCAACUUACAAUUGGCAGCCCACUGAAGCUAAGCAGGUGUGAGCCUGGUCAGUACCUGGAUGGGAGACCUCCUGGGGAAAACUAAGUGUUGCUGGAA